rnacentral:lncRNA from 1 species
ACUUUCACCGGCUACCCAAGUUUCUCGAUACUCACGAUACGUUCCAAAGGAUGCUACGAAUAUCACGCAUGAAUAUUUCAUGUAUCUUACAACCGGCAUCAUUCGAAACCUUUUAAUUUCUAACUACGUUUUUAUAUUCGUUCGUGUCCGAUACGAUUUAAAAACUCUCAUGUUCAAUCGUUUAUCGACCAUAAAAUCCUCGAAAAUCGAAAAGAUCCAUCUCGUUUUAAAACGCCGACAUGAGCUUUAAACCAGUACAUCAACACUGAAUUAAUAUCGAUUUUUAAGCAGUAGUUCAUCUUAAUUAUAAACAACUCCCCACUUCCAAAAAGUAUUCUUCUAAACUUACUUGAAAAGCAGUACUACCCAAUAAUUAAAAUAAUACUAUACUUUCGUUGCUAUAUCAAAAUAAGAAUAAGAAGAUCAAGAAUCUACAAUUAUACUAACAGCAAGUUACAGACCAUACGCAGCUAUUAAUCUAAUUUUAUGUAAAAACAACGUAACAACGUAAUGAGAUAGUAACAGAAUAGAACAGCAGAAAGACCAAAGAAACCGAUGAUAAACGGUGAAUGAAUGCUCCAAGAGUUCCUCGACAUUAUCAAAAUUUACAUUCUCGACGUUGCAGGAACAAAAUACUCAAGAUGCAUAUUAACCUCGCCAUUAACUGCGCAAGCACUCCGAGUUCUCCACGAAUCGUUAGCUUUAUCGACACAUAUGAGCUUUUCGCGGGCAAGGGCAAAGGAAAAAACAGAAAAAGAAAGAAAAAAAUAAAGCACGAAAAUAAAAAAAAAAGAGUGGAGCAGGAUAGUCCAGGCUGGUAUGGACUUUCGAAUGCACAGUGUGUUACGUCUUCCCGCAAGUCCAGCAGUUACUGUCACGCGCGCCCACGCGAUCUCGUGCAAAGGACGAUAAUAGCGCGUUUAAGUACGUAUAAAUUCCGUCGUAUAACUCGCGACUCCGUAGGGCGCUCGAGUGCGCCGUUAAUAACCCCGCCGUGGAAAACGACACAAGAAGCAAUGAAUUUUCAGAAGCAGAGGAGGCACGACCCCCUCUUCCUUCCUCUCCUUCUUUUCUCUUCUUCGGCCCACUACGUGGGUGGACGUCGCGGACGUGGCCGGUCUACGUUGGCUGAAUUCGAAGACAGGCCCGUAUCGGCCACGAGGCGGCCGAUCCGGUAUUGCUGGAUGGUCGAAUUCCGUGUAGGGGGACGAAGAUAUUUUUAAGAAAGCCACGGAGAAAGCAACGCGUAAACGUAACGGGGCGCCGUGGAAAUUUAUUCCACACGUUCGUUCGCCUUGCCCUGACAACGCGCGGAGGUAAUAAAGAAGUACAAGGGUCACCUUUGCCUAAUAAUCUUGAAAUUAAAACAUGGCGGCGGGUGGUAAGAGGUUGUUAAAACCGUUCGGUAGCGUGAUAGGGGUCAGGCGUAUUUCAUAACACGGAUAUAUUUCCCAUUUCACUUAUGAAUGAUUGCGCUACGUCAUCUGCCAUUCCCUCUCUGUUAAACGAAGAAACUGAAGCCUCGACUGAACUACUUAUUCGAGCAAGGCUGAACAUUAAACCGCGUAUGCACUGGCGCAGACUACACGUUACAUACAUGUGCAUUUAAAGAGGUUAUGUAGUUAUUAACCCUUUCUUAGAUAUCUAAGGUAACAUACAAAAAUGGAGCUAACCUCAACAACAGAUACAGGCGAAGCUAUAUUAAGGUUUCAGAAGAAGUGAAGAAGCUGACAGAAAAUAUAGAAUGAAAUCGACAGGUGAAACAAAAGAUUGAACAAGAGAAUUAAGUCGUCAUCGAGAGGUUUUUCAAUAGAAACCGCUGCCAGGAUCGGCACAUGGUAUAUACACGUGAAAGUUGGCCGUGGCUAGUCUACGAAGAGACACGGUACAAGGGGAUCAGCGAUCCGAGUCUCGGGGCAACGUGGCUCGUAGGCACGGCAAUGUUGACCAGCUCGCUCGCAAAUCGGGUACAAGGUAAAGGAUUCGUACGUGAGUGGCGUUCCAACGGCAUCAGGUUUUAUCGUGGAUCGUACCGCGGCUUCAUUAUUCGUUUCUGGCACGUACGGGCAUUCACACCCGUUCGAGCCACGAUCGGGCUUGCCAGCGGGUUUCUUUCCUUCGUCGAGAGCAGAACGAAGAAACAGAAUCCACGACGAUUCCGAGGCCCGAUCGUACGGCCCUCCCCUAUCCACGCUACUCGGAUGCAUAACGAGUAGUUCUCGCGUUCCUUGCCA